AGCGGCGGAUGGGUGAGUAACACGUGGGAACCUGCCCCUAAGUCUGGGAUACCAUUUGGAAACAGGUGCUAAUACCGGAUAAUAAAGCAGAUCGCAUGAUCAGCUUUUGAAAGGCGGCGUAAGCUGUCGCUAAGGGAUGGCCCCGCGGUGCAUUAGCUAGUUGGUAAGGUAACGGCUUACCAAGGCGACGAUGCAUAGCCGAGUUGGGAGACUGAUCGGCCACAUUGGGACUGAGACACGGCCCAAACUCCUACGGGAGGCAGCAGUAGGGAAUCUUCCACAAUGGACGCAAGUCUGAUGGAGCAACGCCGCGUGAGUGAAGAAGGUUUUCGGAUCGUAAAGCUCUGUUGUUGGUGAAGAAGGAUAGAGGUAGUAACUGGCCUUUAUUUGACGGUAAUCAACCAGAAAGUCACGGCUAACUACGUGCCAGCAGCCGCGGUAAUACGUAGGUGGCAAGCGUUGUCCGGAUUUAUUGGGCGUAAAGCGAGCGCAGGCGGAAAAAUAAGUCUAAUGUGAAAGCCCUCGGCUUAACCGAGGAACUGCAUCGGAAACUGUUUUUCUUGAGUGCAGAAGAGGAGAGUGGAACUCCAUGUGUAGCGGUGGAAUGCGUAGAUAUAUGGAAGAACACCAGUGGCGAAGGCGGCUCUCUGGUCUGCAACUGACGCUGAGGCUCGAAAGCAUGGGUAGCGAACAGGAUUAGAUACCCUGGUAGUCCAUGCCGUAAACGAUGAGUGCUAAGUGU
rnacentral:rRNA from 1 species